rnacentral:rRNA from 1 species
UACGAAGGGGGCUAGCGUUGCUCGGAAUCACUGGGCGUAAAGGGCGCGUAGGCGGCCUUCUAAGUCGAACGUGAAAUCCCCGGGCUCAACCCGGGAACUGCGUCCGAUACUGGAAGGCUUGAAUCCGGGAGAGGGAUGUGGAAUUCCAGGUGUAGCGGUGAAAUGCGUAGAUAUCUGGAGGAACACCGGUGGCGAAGGCGGCAUCCUGGACCGGUAUUGACGCUGAGGCGCGAAAGCCAGGGGAGCAAACGGG